rnacentral:rRNA from 1 species
CUAGACUUGACAUCUCCUGAAUUACUCUUAAUCGAGGAAGUCCCUUCGGGGACAGGAAGACAGGUGGUGCAUGGUUGUCGUCAGCUCGUGUCGUGAGAUGUUGGGUUAAGUCCCGCAACGAGCGCAACCCUUAUUGUUAGUUGCUACUAUUAAGUUAAGCACUCUAACGAGACUGCCGCGGUUAACGUGGAGGAAGGUGGGGAUGACGUCAAAUCAUCAUGCCCCUUAUGUCUAGGGCUACACACGUGCUACAAUGGCUGGUACAACGAGCAGCAAACCCGCGAGGGGGAGCAAAACUUGAAAGCCAGUCCCAGUUCGGAUUGUAGGCUGAAACUCGCCUACAUGAAGUUGGAGUUGCUAGUAAUCGCGAAUCAGCAUGUCGCGGUGAAUACGUUCCCGGGUCUUGUACACACCGCCCGUCACACCAUGAGAGCCGGUAACACCCGAAGCCCGUGAGGUAACCGUAAGGAGCCAGCGGUCGAAGGUGGGAUUGGUGAUUGGGGUGAAGUCGUAACAAGG